CCUACGGGUGGCUGCAGUGGGGAAUAUUGGACAAUGGGGGAAACCCUGAUCCAGCAAUGCCGCGUGUGUGAAGAAGGCCUGCGGGUUGUAAAGCACUUUCGUUUGGGAAGAAAAGUUUGGCGCCAAUACCGCCGAACCUUGACGUUACUGACAGAAGAAGCACCGGCUAACUCUGUGCCAGCAGCCGCGGUAAUACAGAGGGUGCAAGCGUUAAUCGAAAUCUCUGGGGGUAGUGAUGGCGGUCGGGUGCGAAAUCCCCGGGCUGAACCUGGGAACUGCAUUCGAUACUACAUGGCUAGAGUAUGGUAGAGGGAAGUGGAAUGUCCGGUGUAGCGGUGAAAUGCGUAGAUAUCGGAAGGAACACCAAUGGCGAAGGCAGCUUCCUGGACUAAUACUGACACUGAGGCACGAAAGCGUGGGUAGCAAACAGGAUUAGAUACCCCGGUAGUC
rnacentral:rRNA from 1 species